GGCCCCGGCCAUAUCAGCCUGAAGGCGCCUGAUCUCGUCUGAUCUCGGAAGCUAAGCAGGGUCGGGCCUGCUUAGUAUUAAAAAAAAAAGUCUUUAUGGCUGGAUCUG
ensembl:rRNA 5S_rRNA 5S ribosomal RNA